ACUUUAUUGUUGCUGCCAGCCGGCUUUCUUUGGGAGAAGACUAUGUGUGCUUGAAUAGAUUUUCUGAUGGAAUAGAGACUGACAUGCUACUGAAGAAGAAAGAAAUGUAUGCAUUUAUCACGUAUUUCUCAGCUUACCUGGGAUGUUUAAAACAUCACUGCUUACGCUUUUAAGUUCUUUGAUUUUGUUUUUAUUCAUUUGUCAUAGAAUCUUGCUUUUGAUUUAUGGAUGCAACUUGUUCUCAAUUUCUGCUGAGAAUAUGAACAUUCUCUGCUGUGUUAACCCUGUUUCAUUAGAAGAAUUUAUUGUCUUUGUUUGAGCUUCUUUUCAGGAUAUUGAGUGUCAUCCAACAUCCCAUUAUCUGACAAUUGUACCAACUUUUGGAACUGAUGGUGUAGAUCCAUGUGUUGCAGCUCGUGUGGACUUCUGUACAGCACUGAGCUAAGGGUCUGUGUAGCUGUGUCAACAGGACAUUCUAAGCUCUCAUUGAUUCCGAAUGCAGUUUGCCAGUUUUCAUGACUGGAGUUGGCUCAGGCAUGAUUACCUAUGAAGGUUUCCUGGAGCAUCCUGCAGAAUUGGAUCUCUAGAAACUAUCGCCUGUCAUGUGUCCUUGUGGAUGCCUCCUGUGCUCCUGAUGGUUCCUUGGCUCCAGUUCUUGCCCAUGGUAUUUGGCAUCUGCCUCACUUGGCUCUGGAUUUCCUUGACCCCUGGCUGCCCCUGCCUGCCCCUGUGACCUGGGUCUUUACCAGCAACUGAGCCUGCUGCUCACUUGCUGCUUUUUAGUACUGACUACAAAUUCCUGGUUUCUAAAUUCUGCUUAGCCUGGCAAUAGGUAUCAGUGGGGACAUAUGUAGGUAAAGCAAAUGGGGGGUUAUAUAACUACCCAAAUAUCUCUUGCCAAAUUCAGUUCAGACAGAAACAUCCAUAUUGAUAUGGGUUGGGUAUAUAGAAAAUGAGCCUUUUGAUCAAAGCUCUUAAUUUAGUAUUUCCAGGGUUUGAUAUGCCAUGCGAUAAAGGAGCCCCAUUUUUGCUUUUUUGAGCAUGCAGCUAUGCCCAGUGCACUGAGUAGAGAGAAUUAAAACAUAAUCUGAAACCCAAAUAUUGAGGAAAGAUAACUGAAAAAAAAGAAAUUACAAAUGGUAUCAUUCUGGACUUAAGGUAAUCUAUAACAGCGAAGUAGUUUCAAAAUUUUAAAAUUUCCGUGUUGUAUUUAGAUGGUUCAGGAACACAGAUUCAAAAUUCCAGUGGACACAUUUAACUCUACAUUAUUCAAGCCUCUGGGUUAGAAUAAGAUUUAGUCUCUCUUUCUCUGCCCCUCCCUUUCUCCGUUACGCCUUCCUUCCCUCUCUUUCCCCUUCCUUCCCUCUCUUUCCCCUUCUCUGUCUCUGUCUCUCUUUUAAGCUGAACAUGUUUAUUGUAGACAUUUGUUAGGAGGAGCUUGAUUUACAACAACUAACUAUAAUGAAUGUCUUCAGGGCAGUGUCUUAUGUAAAACAAGGUUGCUAAAAUUGGAAGAUCUUGCCUACUAAUUUCUUUUUUUAUUCCACCCCCUCCC